GGUGACGAGUGGCGGACGGGUGAGUAAUGUCUGGGAAACUGCCCGAUGGAGGGGGAUAACUACUGGAAACGGUAGCUAAUACCGCAUAACGUCGCAAGACCAAAGAGGGGGACCUUCGGGCCUCUUGCCAUCGGAUGUGCCCAGAUGGGAUUAGCUAGUAGGUGGGGUAACGGCUCACCUAGGCGACGAUCCCUAGCUGGUCUGAGAGGAUGACCAGCCACACUGGAACUGAGACACGGUCCAGACUCCUACGGGAGGCAGCAGUGGGGAAUAUUGCACAAUGGGCGCAAGCCUGAUGCAGCCAUGCCGCGUGUAUGAAGAAGGCCUUCGGGUUGUAAAGU
rnacentral:rRNA from 1 species